AUUGAACGCUGGCGGCAUGCCUUACACAUGCAAGUCGAACGGUAACAGGUCUUCGGAUGCUGACGAGUGGCGAACGGGUGAGUAAUACAUCGGAACGUGCCUAGUAGUGGGGGAUAACUACUCGAAAGAGUGGCUAAUACCGCAUGAGAUCUACGGAUGAAAGCAGGGGAUCGCAAGACCUUGUGCUACUAGAGCGGCCGAUGGCAGAUUAGGUAGUUGGUGGGAUAAAAGCUUACCAAGCCGGCGAUCUGUAGCUGGUCUGAGAGGACGAUCAGCCACAGUGGGAGUGAGACAGGGCCCAGACGCCCACGGGAGGGAACAGUGGGGAAUGUUGGACAAUGGGCGAAGGCCUGCUCCAGCAAUGCCGCGUGCAGCAUGAAGGCCUUCGGGUUGUAAACUGAUUUUGUACGGAACGAAAAGCCCUGGGUUAAUACCUGGGGCUAAUGACGGUACCGUAAGAAUAAGCACCGGCUAACUACGUGCCAGCCGCCGCAGUAACAC
rnacentral:rRNA from 1 species